GACGAACGCUGGCGGCGUGCUUAACACAUGCAAGUCGAACGGAAAGGCCCUGCUUUUGUGGGGUGCUCGAGUGGCGAACGGGUGAGUAACACGCGAGUAACCUGCCCUUGACUUUGGGAUAACUUCAGGAAACUGGGGCUAAUACCGGAUAGGAGCUCCUGCUGCAUGGUGGGGGUUGGAAAGUUUCGGCGGUUGGGGAUGGACUCGCGGCUUAUCAGCUUGUUGGUGGGGUAGUGGCUUACCAAGGCUUUGACGGGUAGCCGGCCUGAGAGGGUGACCGGCCACAUUGGGACUGAGAUACGGCCCAGACUCCUACGGGAGGCAGCAGUGGGGAAUAUUGCACAAUGGGCGGAAGCCUGAUGCAGCAACGCCGCGUGCGGGAUGACGGCCUUCGGGUUGUAAACCGCUUUCGCCUGUGACGAAGCGUGAGUGACAGUAAUGGGUAAAGAAGCACCGGCUAACUACGUGCCAGCAGCCGCGGUGAUACGUAGGGUGCGAGCGUUGUCCGGAUUUAUUGGGCGUAAAGGGCUCGUAGGUGGUUGAUCGCGUCGGAAGUGUAAUCUUGGGGCUUAACCCUGAGCGUGCUUUCGAUACGGGUUGACUUGAGGAAGGUAGGGGAGAAUGGAAUUCCUGGUGGAGCGGUGGAAUGCGCAGAUAUCAGGAGGAACACCAGUGGCGAAGGCGGUUCUCUGGGCCUUUCCUGACGCUGAGGAGCGAAAGCGUGGGGAGCGAACAGGCUUAGAUACCCUGGUAGUCCACGCUGUAAACGGUGGGUACUAGGUGUGGGGUCCAUUCCACGGGUUCCGUGCCGUAGCUAACGCUUUAAGUACCCCGCCUGGGGAGUACGGCCGCAAGGCUAAAACUCAAAGGAAUUGACGGGGCCCCGCACAAGCGGCGGAGCAUGCGGAUUAAUUCGAUGCAACGCGUAGAACCUUACCUGGGUUUGACAUGGAUCGGGAGUGCUCAGAGAUGGGUGUGCCUCUUUUGGGGUCGGUUCACAGGUGGUGCAUGGCUGUCGUCAGCUCGUGUCGUGAGAUGUUGGGUUAAGUCCCGCAACGAGCGCAACCCUUGUUCACUGUUGCCAGCACGUUAUGGUGGGGACUCAGUGGAGACCGCCGGGGUCAACUCGGAGGAAGGUGGGGAUGACGUCAAGUCAUCAUGCCCCUUAUGUCCAGGGCUUCACGCAUGCUACAAUGGCUGGUACAGAGAGUGGCGAGCCUGUGAGGGUGAGCGAAUCUCGGAAAGCCGGUCUCAGUUCGGAUUGGGGUCUGCAACUCGACCUCAUGAAGUCGGAGUCGCUAGUAAUCGCAGAUCAGCAACGCUGCGGUGAAUACGUUCCCGGGGCU
rnacentral:rRNA from 1 species